AAUUAUUAAAUAUCUGUUUAUUAUACCUGUUGAUACAGGGCUCAUAUGUGAAACUAUUAGAACUGAACAUUUUCUUUCACAGUGACACUGACUCCGAAUGGGAGUCUUAUCCGGUGUCCUGUGUGAAUUUAAGUAUGCUCUCUCUAAUUCUCUCUUUCUCUCUCUCAGAGGACCUGAGCCCUAAGACCAUGCGUCAGGACUACCUGGCAUGAUGACUCUUUGCUGUCCCCAGUCCACCUGGCCUUGCCGCUUCAACUGUUCUUCAUGCGGCUAUGGAACCCUAAACUGUUCAUUUUUACUCUUGAGAUGCUGUCCUGUUGCACCCUCUACAACCACUGUGAUCUCCACCCGGCACAGCCAGAAGAGGACUGGCCACCCCUCAUAGCCUGGUUCCUCUCUAGGUUUCUUCCUAGGUUUUUGCCUUUCUAGGGAGUUUUUCCUAGCCACCGUGCUUCUACACCUGCAUUGCUUGCUGUUUGGGGUUUUAGGCUGGGGCUAUAUAAAUUGAUUUGAUUUGAUAGAGGACUGAGGGUCUUCCAAAUAUUGAAAGUGUGUAAAUAGUUACCCAUGUUAUUUUGUAAAUGGGGGGGUGUGUUAGAAUACCAUUUUGGUAUUUUGUAUAUAGUUAUUUGUUUCAAAAUGUAUACCUUCACCAAUUUGGCCACUUGGGUACAUUUGGGCUACUUGUGUGGGACACCUGGGUGACUCAUUUUGGAAGUUAUCUUUCUGAAACUUUGCACAAGUACUGUUGCCCUCUUAUAUUUUUCACUGAAAUUGUCCCCAUCAUCCUAUCUGAAUGUUUAUUUUAUCUUGUUCAUUUUAAAUAUAAUGAUAUAAAAAUAGAAGGAUACUAAAACAAGGAAAGUUCGGACAACUAGGUACAUUGUGCCGGUCCGCACAGGGAAAAAGGGUAUUUUAAGCUUAGGUUAGGUUUAGGGAAGGGUUACAAUAAGGGUUAUUUAUAUUAGAAUUAGAGUUAAGGGUUAAGGUUAGGUUAAGGGUUAGUUUAGGGCUUAGGGAAAAUAUGAUUUAGAUUGGAAUCAAUUGUUUGGUCCCCACAAGGAUAGUAAAACAAACGUAAUGUGUGUGUACAUCUGUGUGUGUGAGUCAGUGAAUCCUUUUAGACUGAGAAGAAGGUUGAAUCCACUGAGCUCAGCGGGAGAACUCCACUCCUAAUUAGAUGGAGGUGGAACUCAGGGAUUGGUUAAGUUGGGCUGGAGAAGUGAUGAUUCCCUUUGCACUGGACCAGAUUUGAUGUCUCUCUCUUUCUCUCUUUCUCUCUCUCUCACAGACUUCCUGGUUGGGGUCUGAUGAGGAGAGGAGGAGGAGAGGUUGAGAGGAAGAGAGAAGGGCGGCUCUAUCCCAGGAGACUAAUUUGUGUUUUCAGAGCAAAGACCUCAGAGCCACAGUGUCUCAGACUAGCCCUGGUCUCUGAUUAAUGCCCAACUAUUCUCCUCUCUCUCUUCUUCUCUUUCUCUCUCUCUGAAAGUUGCCACUCUAUCUCACCCUUCUGCGUGUGUGUGUGCGUAUCUGCGUGUGUGCGUGUGUGUGUGUGUGUGCGCGUGUGUGUGUGCGUGUGUGUGUGCGUGUGCGUGCGUGUGUGAGAUAUCUGGUCAACUUUGUAAUUUGUAAUCAUUUAUUUAUAGAAGAGGUGUUGUGUUGUGCUUGUUUCGGGCCAAUAGAGGGGGCCGCUCAUUCCAGUGGUUGCUUCACGAGCUGUCACUCUACUGUAGUUCUCAAACUAUGCCUGCGUUGUUGUCAGUUAAAUGAGUGAGAAGCCAAUGGUGAACUGUGGUAAGUGAAGACAACCACGAUUCUUGAUUUUCAAGGCGAGUGAGUAGAAAAGCACAUGAAGAAAGUAAAUGCUGAAUUGAGCGGAGUCUUGUUAUACUAUCGUUGUAUUUUUUUGGUAACGUUGUGAUGGUUAAAGUUCUUUGCAGAAGUCCACUAAGUUGGCAAGCUCUUAAACCAGAAUAUAAUAAUAAUAAUAAAUUAUUACUUUUAUAGUGCUAUUCAUUACAUGAAGAAUUUCAAAGCGAUUUAAAGCAAAACAAUGUCACGCCCUGACCUUAGAGAGCUUUUUACGUCUCUAUUUUGGUUUGAUCCGGGUGUGAUUUGGGGUGGGCAUUCUAUGUUAUUUUUCCUAUGUUUUGUAUUUCUUUGUUUUGGCCAGGGUGUGGUUCUCAAUCAGGGACAGCUGACUAUCGUUGUCUCUGAUUGGGAACAAUACUUACGUAGCUUUUUCCCACCUAUGUUUUGGGGGUAGUUGUUUUCUGUUUAGUGUUCUGCACAUGACAUGACAUGACAUGACAUGACAUGACAUGACAUGACAUGACAUGACAUGACAUGACAUGACAGUUUCGUUUCUGUUUUGUUUCUCACUUUGUUAUUUUGUUCUAAUAUUCAGUUUUCAAUAAAAUCAUGAACACUUACCCCGCUGCGCUUUGGUCUGAUCCUUCUUCAUGCAACGAUGACCGUUACAAACAACAACAACAUAAUUCAGGUGAGGAAGCUCAUGAGAAGGCUGGGAAAGUUCAUGGCUUGAGUGGUUAUCGGAGGAAGGUGGUCAACGGGGGAAUAGAGCAAAUAUGGUCACUGAAGCAAGCCCGGGGGUUAGGCAGGCAGAAAACACAGAGUCAUUAACUAGGCAAGUCAGUUAAGUACAAAUUCUUAUUUACAAUGACAGCCUACAAGGGAGCAGUGGGUUAACUGCCUUGUUCAGGGGCAGAAUGACAGAUUUGUACCUUGUGAGCUCAGUGAUUCGAUCCAGCAACCUUUCAGUUACUGGCGCAACGCUCUAACCACUAGGCUACCUGCUGUGUAGGUGAAUAAUGGCCAAAGGCCUGGCUCAGCAAGCAGGCCUACACUAUGUGAGGCUCAUAUCAAAGUGGAAGCUGCUUCCAAACACUGGAGGAAGUUUGACAGUUUAUUUUGCCUCUGAUGAUCUAUAAUAGCUUAUACAGGACUGUACAAACCCACACAAAAUAUAUAGCCUUGUAUGGUGGCAAACAUUUCUUUCACCGGAGGGCUUGUGGUUGACUAAUAAUGAAUGUGUAAUGUAAUGUACAAUGUCUAACAGGUGGAGUAAUUCACCAUGCAAAGGUCACGCACGCACGCACACACACACACAAAGGUCUAAAGAGCCAAAGUCGUUUCCUCAGGAGAUGCAGCUACACAUUGCACAGCCAAACAUUCACAGCAGCUGCUGCACUAACGUGCGAACCUGCUCCCUGAAGCCUUUUGUUCCCCCCUGUGAGGUCAUAUGAAUGGGCCAGGCAUAGCAAACCUGGAGGGAGGGUAAUGUAACACUGCUAUAACUUGAUUUAACAGGACAUGAAUAUUGUAUAUCUGUGAAAGAGUAAUUUUGAUCUGAAAUGGUGUGUGUGUGUGUGGAUAGGUGGUGUUUGUGUUUGUGUGUGUGUGCACGCGUGUGUGUUUGCUGAGUGUGGUGGGAUCAAAGGCAUUAGUGCUUCACCAUAUUUUCUGAUGAAUUAACCAAUCAAUCCAUGAUUGUUAUUGCAAUUUCAUUGAAUGUUUUCUGAGACAUUCAACUUGAAAGGGUCCUAUGCAUUGGCACUUUCCUAUAUUUUGUUUAAGUCAGCAAAACAUUGUAUUU
rnacentral:lncRNA from 13 species